rnacentral:rRNA from 1 species
ACUCUCGGCAACGGAUAUCUCGGCUCUUGUUACCAUGAAGAACAUAGCGAAAUGCGAUACUUUGUGUGAAUUGUAGAAUCCUGUGAAUCAUAGAGUUUUUGAAUGAAAUUUGUGCCUGAGGCCUUGGUCGAGGGCACGUCUAUCUGGGUGUUGCAUCCCAUUCAAAUGCGCUCCCUGCAAUAUGAUAGGGAGCAGCGGAGCUAGUCGUCCGUGUGCAAUGCGGUGCAGUUGGCUAAAAUACCUCAAGCGAUGUUUUGUGGUGUGCGUUGACGAGCGGUGAUAUUGUCCCCUUGGAUGGGCAGUCGGCAUUAGCUGAUGCAGGAUUUGUGUGGCAUCGCUCAAAAUUUCUUUGCUCUCCCUUGUCCUCCCAUCGGGUAGGGCGGAUUUAACUCCAAGUUUGCGACCUCAGCUCAGGCGAGAACACCUGCUGAGUUUAAGCAUAUAAUUAAGUGGAGGAAAAGAAAAUCGGGUGGCAACGUCGCCUAAAUUGUAGUCUGUAGGAGCGUCCUCAGUGGCAGACCUGGGCCAAGUCCCUUGGAAGGGGGCGCCUGAGAGGGUGACAGCCCUCAACCUAUUCUCAAACUUUAAAUAGGUAAGAGGGUGCGACGACUCCAUUGAGCCAUGCCGUGGAAUUGAGAGCUCCAAGUGGGCCAUUUUUGGUAAGCAGAAUCACCGAUGCGGGAUGAACCGAAAGUCGAGUUACGGUGCCGAAUUGUGCGCUAACCUAGAUCCCACAAAGGGUGUUGGUUUAUUAAGACAGCAGGACGGUGGUCAUGGAAGUCGAAAUAUGUUGAGUGUGUAACAACUCACCUGCCGAAUCAAAUAGCCCCGAAAAUGGAUGGCGCUGAAGCGCGCAACCUAUACUUGACCAUCGGAGCAAUUGCCUAGCUCCAAUGAGUAGGAGGACGCGUGGGUCAUUGAGAAACCUUGGGCGUGAGCUUGGGUGGAUCGGCCCCCGGUGCAGAUCUUGGUGGUAGUAGCAAAUAUUUAAAUAAGAACUUUGAAGACUGAAGUGGGGAAAGGUUCCAUGUGAACAACACUUGGACAUGGGUUAGUCGAUCCUAAGAGAUUGGGAAGCCUUGUAUCAAGGGUGCACUCUGCAUGAGCAUCGAAAAGGAAUCAGGUUAACAUUCCUGAACCAGGACAUGGAAGUGGGUGGCAACGUUAGUAAAUCCAGAGACGUCGUUGGGGGCCUCGGGAAGAGUUAUCUUUUCUUUUUAACAUCUUGCCCACCCUGGAAUCGGUUCACCCAAAGUUAGGGUCUAGCAGCUGGAAGAGCACCGCACAUCUUGCGGUAUCUAGUGCACCCUCGAAAACCCUUGAAAAUCUAGAGGACCGAGUACCGUUCAUGCCCGGUCAUACUCAUAACUACAUCAGGUCUCCAAGGUGAACAACCUCUGGUCAAUAGAACAAUGUAGGUAAGGGAAGUCGGCAAAAUAGAUCUGUAACUUCAGGAAAAGGAUUGGCUUUGAGGGUUGGGCCUAGGGGUCUGCGCCCUCAACAUGUGGGCUGUCAACAAUCUGCCUGAGCUCCUCUCGCGGCGUGGGCAGGUAGUUGGGUACCGAUUGGGAUAUGGGCAUAGAAUGCUGCCUGCCGGGGCUUUUCCCUAGGCGUCGAACAGUCGACUUAGAACUGGUACGAACAAGGGGAAUCUGACUGUUUAAUUAAAACAAAGCAUUGCGAUGGUCCUUUCGGAUGCUAACGCAAUGUGAUUUCUGCCCAUUGCUCUAAAUGUCAAAGUGAAGAAAUUCAACCAGGCGCGGGUAAAUGGCGGGAGUAACUAUGACUCUCUUAAGGUAGCCAAAUGCCUCGUCAUCUAAUUAGUGACACACAUGAAUGGAUUAAUAAAAUUCCCACUGUCCCUAUAUACUAUCUAGCGAAACCAUAGCCAAGGGAACAGGCUUGGCAGAAUAAGCGAGGAAAGAAGACCCUGUUGAGCUUGACUCUAGUCCGAAUUUGUGAAAUGACAUGAGAUGUGUAGAAUAAGUGGGAGCCGUUUUCAGCGCAAGUGAAAUACCACUACUUUUAACAUUAUUUUACUUAUUCCAUGGGGCAAAUAUGGGGCACUACCCCUGUUUGUGGCCUUAAGGCACAUUUCGGCGGGUCGAUCUGGGUGGAAGACAUUGUUAGGUGGGGAGUUUGACUGGGGUGGCACAUCUGUUAAAAGAUAACACAGGUGUCCUAAGAUGAGCUCAAUGAGAACAAAAAUAUCGUGUGGAACAAAAAGGUAAAAGCUGAUUUGAUUUUUAUUUUCAUUACGAAUACAAACCAUGAAAGCGUGGCCUAUCGAUCCUUUAGAUUUUCGGAAUUUGAAGCUAUAGGUGUCAGAAAAGUUACCACAGUGAUAACUGGCUUCUGGCAGCCAAGUGUUCAUAGCGAUGUUGCUUUUUUAUCCUUCCAUGUCGGCUCCUCCUAUCAUUGUGAAGCAGAAUUCACCAAGUGUUGGAUUGUUCACCCACCAAUAGGGAACGUGAGCUGGGUUUAGACCAUCGUGAGACAGGUUAGUUUUACCCUACUGAUGAACCACACCACAAUAGUAAUUCAACUUAGUACGAGAGGAACCAUUGAUUCACACAAUUGGUCAUCACGCUUGGUUGAAAAUCCAGUGGCUCGAAGCUACCGUGUGUUGGAUUAUGACUGAAUGCCUCUAUGUCAGAAUCCAUGCUAGAAGCGGUGCAUGUCACUCUUCGAAUGUAUCUUGACCCAUAGUAGGGGCGUCGCUUUGUCGCCCCCAAGGGCCCAUGUCAUUUGCAAACUGUGAACGUGAAGCAUCUCGGUCGGGGUAGCUUUGAAGUUCAAUUCUAAACGGUCGUUGAGAAGAAUCCUGUGCAAACUACAUAAAUACACGACAAGGGUAUUGUAGGUGCUAGAGUGGCCUUGCUGCCACAAUCCACUGAGAUUCAGCACUUGGUUGCCUUGAUUCAGAGCUUCGUUCUUGUCA